rnacentral:lncRNA from 1 species
CCCCGCCCCAGCUCCCUGUCCCUGCUAGGCUGCCUUGGGGGGAAGGGCAGGGCGGGGGAGAAGGGCUGGUGGGGGCUGGGGACUUUCUCCAAGUUUUCUUUUUAGCCUUUUUUGAAGGUAGCUAGUGGGGGCUUCUUCGAGGGUUGACAUGACACCCCGCCCCCCAGGUGGCAGGAAGACAGUGCUAAACUCCUAGGAGCCAGGUGUGAGGUUGGAGGCGGCAUUCCUUUGCAUCAAUGUCAGGGAUCCCAGGUUAGACCCAGCCUGGGAUCUCCAGAGGGGAGAAUGCUAAAAAUGCAGAAGGAAGGGGGCGAUCCAAACCCACAGUGCCUCUGAUGCAGACAGCGAGGGGGCAUUCUAGGAGAGCAGCCAGGAGCCCCUCCUGAGACAGAAAAGCCAAGUUGCCCCUGGAGCCUCAGAGAAGGAGCAACAAGUAGUCGCCUCCCCCACCGCCACAUAGCUGUCGGGAGAGUCUGUAUUUGAAAGAGAAAGGCAACUGGGACUCCAGAUGGAAGUACAGCCGGAACUAUAGGUGGGAGCAAAGAAUUAGCCUUUCCGCUGCCUACCUCUUUUUUCCUGAAACUCCACUGGCAGUCAGCUCCUGCUAGCAGCUCCAGGCCCUCUCCUACAGGAAGACUUCCUGGAUUAAUCUGCUAAUCUUCAGCUCAUCCACCUGUUUAAUAGGCAAAACCUACAGAACUAGUCCACACUGAGUGGACCUCUGGGGCUCCCAGCUGCCGAUUGACCUGAACCCCAGAGUGAACUCGUGUUGCUUUGUGGCUUCAGGAAACCUUGGAACAUCUCUGUGCUGUUUUUUCAUUUGUGCUCAAUCAUUCCUGAGGCCUCCUCCUCCUGCUGCAAUUUGACAAGACUUGACCAAAUCAUUAACUCCCAGUUAAUGGGAUAAAAUGAGUUUGAAUCUGGGAUUCUGGUCAUUAACCCCAUGUCACCAUCUGCUCCAGCAGUUUGAUGGCAGGGCUAGGUGAAUUCUAAUCACCCAACACUUGUUAAACUGCUGAUUCCUGCUUCCCCACCUCUGCUGACUCAGCAUCUCUGGGGUGGGGCCUGCAAAGGCUCUCUUCCUUGACGGGGUUAUUGAGGGCAGCUCUAGGAACCCACCCAGGACCAGACCUGAUGAGGAGUUCCUCCUAUGCAUCAGGUAUGCUGGGUCGGUUUGCGGAGUUUCAUAACUUGCAUUUUCCUCUGCCUGGAGAGUUCCUUGCAGCUGGCUUCUUCUGUGUCACGGCCCCACAGAGAUCUUGGCUGGUCUCCCUAUCUCCACCCUCCACCAUGCUCACUAUUCCAUUACAAGUUUCCUUUUCUACCCAGUACUAAUCAUUUUCUGCAAUUCAUCUCAUUUCCUUGUGAACUAUCUGUUGGUCCUACCAGAAUGUAAGUCUCCACCUGGGGGCAGAGACCCUGCCUGGCUUGUUAGAAGCCAUAUCCCCAGGAUUGAAGCAUAUGAGAGAUGCUCAGAAAUACAAGAAUUCAUGAACAAAUGAACACGAGUGAAUUCAUUCAGCUCUGAUGCUGAGGCUCCCUCUCUGAGAUGAAAGAAUGGGGAACCUUCUUCUAAUCCUGGGGAACCUGGGGCCUGCCCUGAGCCUGAUUCCUGAGGCAGGUGAGAGGCACCUCCUACCUCUCAACCCUGUCUAUUGUUACCCCCAGCACCCAGGGAAGACCUCACUGGAGCCUGAGUCAGUGCAGGGGGCCAAGAGGAAUCUGUGCACCCAGAGAAUCUUGGCUGAGUUACCUGAUUUUAAAACUCCUGACUUAAGGUGCUAUUGACCAAGUACUCCUUAGCUCCAUCGCCUACAAAACCACAGGUGCAGGUGAAAGUUGAGUUUAGGUAUGAACUGAAUACUGUUUAGCUACCCUAUUUAAAAAAUUGUUUUCAUUUGUUUGUUUGUUGAGACAGGGUCUCACACUGUCACUCAGGCUGGAGUGCAGUGACAUGGUCAUAGCUCACUGUGGUCUUGAACUUCUGGACUCAAGCUCUCCUCCUGCCUCAGCCUCCUGAGUAGCUGAGACUACAAGGUGCCACCACAUCCAGCUAAUUUUUAAAACCUUUUUUGUAGAAAUGGGGGCUCUCCCUAUGUUGCCCAGGUUUGUCUCGAGCUCCUGGCCUCAAGGGAUCCUCCUGCCUCAGCCUCCCAAAGCAGUGGCCACAGGCAUGGGCACUGCACCCGGCCAAAAGAAAUAUUCUGUCUUCGCUUCCAACUUGAAAUGGACUGCUUACCUUGGCACUUCCCAUGCCGGCUUCUCUCCACUUUCCAAUCUAACAGGAUAAUGAUGUCAUACAGAAAUAACUUACAGUAGGUAUUUAGUAAAUGCUGGUGUGCAAUAUGGAAUAAAAUUCACAAGAGGAAUUCCAAACUGUUCCUUAUCCUCAAAUCAUUUUUUAAUAGCCAAAAAAUUAGUCUGAAAUUUGAGUCCUCGCCCUUCAGUGUAAAAUCAGUAGCUUUUAAUUUUCCCUUAUUUUGUUUGCUUUAAAGAGGCACACCUACCUAUAGUCCCUUAGUCAUGUAAGGGCUGACCCCUCCCACUGGUCUAAAGCGGGGCUUCUGGACCAUGCCUGACCACAGCCAUCUGAUCCUGAGGAGCCUUUAACCCAGUACUUCUGUUUAAAGAAACAAAAGUCCUCUCCUAAAUAAACAAAGCAGGCCUGACUCAAAUCUCUCCGAUGGGUAAAGGAAAGUACCCAGGAGCAGGAGGCUUGGAUUUCUGAUUUUAUUUCGUGUCAUUUCCCUUCCUCAAAGGUGUGAAACUCCACCCCACGCCACUCCUUUCCUAUUCAUCCUCUACUGGAUGUUUUUUCCUCUAAAUAAUUUUUAUUUUCUAUUUUUGUCUGUAUGUGUUCUCCUCUUUUAGUCUACUUCUGUCCCUCUUUCCCCUGCGAAGGAAAAAUAGAAGAAAGAAGCCAUCUCUGUUUGCUUUCUCCCUGUCACUCAAUCUCUGGAGCCAACUGCUUCACAAAUAAAGAGAAGUGCACAGAGAGUCCCUGAAGCCCACCAUCAACAGACAGGCUUUCAACAAAACUGUAUCAGCACCGCCUUGGCCAUAGCUACACUCUACAGAAAAUGGGAGAGAGGAACAGCGCUAGAGAAGUUUGUCCUUGCCUGGUUCCCGGGUGGAACUUCCUCUCCCCCUUGUGUUCUAUGCGUGUGGUUACAGCUGCCUCUGAUCUUUGGUGACCAGCGGUUGGCAGUGGUGGUAUUUCAGCAUACCUUGAUCAUCGUGCUUAUUACACAGCCUCCUUUACCAUCAACCCUACCUACCUUCUUCUAGCCAUGCCCCCCACCUCCUCCCGUCUCUAUCCAUCUCUUCGCUCUUUUAAAAAAUACUUAAGUGUGUACAGAUCACAGUGACUUCAUUUGUGUGCCCAUUCACAUUUGAUGACUUCCAUAACCCCCAUACAAGUAGUUGUGUAUUCGUUUUAAUUCACUUUAUUUAUUUCCUAGCUCUUUCAUAAAAUAAAAUGAAAUAUAAGUAAUGAAAUGGGAAUAAAAAAGAGAAAAAUAGAAUUGAGGGGGAAAAGGAGAAAUGCAUCUAUGUUUGUGAUCACGUUCAUCUUUCUCCAUGCAUCAAUAUGCAUACUAUUAUGAAUUCAUUGCACGUAUUUUAACAUGUAGGCACUACAUGGGGAUGUGGUGUCUACAUACCACCUCUAUAGUGGUAGGCACUGCAAAGGGACAUACAAAAGGUAAAAAGCAUAGUCUCUACUCUCAUAGGACUUUUCAUCUCAUGGAUGUGGCACUCAUAAUGUCUUUUAUCUGUGUCCCACUUGAUGUGAAACUCUUUAGUAGGCAUGAUCCUAUUUGAUUUCCAUAAGCAGAAGAGGGGUCACUGUUUCCAUGUUAUGAGAGAGGAAACUGAGGUUCAGAGAGUGAAAGGACCCUGAUGAGAUAAUGGAACUGGGGCUCAAAUCCUGGUUUCCCGACUCAACAUUUCACAUUCUUUCUACUCUGUCAUUAUUCAUUAGUCAAGUUUCUCCACAGACAACUCACUGAGCCACAACAUAUGAAGCAGCAUGGUAAUGCCACUAGACUGGUCAUGAUCAGAAGAUGUGGCCCCAGGGAAGAGAAAGCAAGAGAGCUGGAGAUAGCAGAGAAAGCACCAAGGAAGGGCUUGGCCGUGCAGCUCUAGCAGGGAGGUCCUUCCUUUCAGCCCCCAAGUGUCCCUCUGUGUCUCAUCUAAAAAGCAAAAAAAGAGGAGAACUAGAGCUUAUGGUUGAAGGCGUGAGAAUGAGGUGUCUUUUCCCUCUAUCUCUGUAAUAUACAAGUAUAAAUACUAUAUAUACAUAUGUAUAUGUGUUCCUUUUUUCUGUGUCUGAUUAUGCAUGCAAUUUAGCAAGGAUUUAUUGCCUAAUUUUGGUCUGGGCACUUUGCUAACGCAAUGGGGGAGGAUACCAAGAAAUUAGGGACUCAGCCUCAUUGUCCCCAGAGACUCCUGGGGGUGGGCAAGGCACGGUGUCUGUGCAUACUGCUGGGGGAGCUCUGGAUUAGGGGACAUCAGGAGACAUGACAUUGAAAUGUCCUACUCAGUUCUCUGUACAGAUUGGAUUUCCGUGGAAGAAAGAAAAUCAACAUGUAUUGGGAGUCAACAUCUCAUUCAGUCCUGUGAGUUUAUUCUGCCUAUUUUUCAGACAAGGAGACUAAGGCUUCAAGACGGUAAGUAAAUUGCCCACAGUGUCACUGCUGGUGUGGGAAUGAGCUUCAGGGUCAUUGAGUCAUGCUGCUGCCCAGGUACCCUGUAAGGCCGUCAAGUGUUGUGGGUAAGGGUUUUGGUGCUGACGUUCAGGUGAUUGUGAGUUUAAAGCCUGG